UAUUUCACCUUACCAUUUUCAUAUUCAUUUCAGUUCUGAUAUGGCAUAAUUUUUGUUCUUGAUAUGGCAAGAUGCCUUUGACUUACUAUGCUCUUAUUCAUUAUGGAUUUGAAGAUUAGGAAUGUUAAGGUCCCAAUUUUAAUCUCUGUCUUUGACUUACUAUGCUCUUAUUCAUAUGUCAUUAUUCUUCACUCAAACCAGUUUACAGGCACUUGUUUUGUCAGUUCUGUGGGACACUGGCUGAUUAUCUUUAGCCAUUCAUUUGAUGGGCCACCAUUUGUAAGGAUAGGAGCCCCAUCAGUAUUAAGCAUUAAGGUAUUCUACAUCAUUGGAACCCCAGUUAGUAUGAUUGGAUGUUUGUAUGUGCAUGCCAUGUGUGGUAGAUGCAGAUAGUGGUGAAACCAAAGCUUAGUUAAAUUGUUCCCUACAAUAGACAUGUCACUGACAGUUACAAUAAUAAUCUUUGGGGAUAUCCUGCUUUAUGGAAGUGAGAUUCUUCAAAUGUCUGUAAGAUAGCAUUCUCUUAUAAUCAUAAUAAAGAAGAGCACAUCUUUGAUAAACAUAAUAAAGAAGAGCACAUCUUCAAAAAUAUUCAUCCCAGUUUGGGCCAUGGGAAGUUAGUUCAUACUUUGGUAGAGUUUGAUGCAUGAUGCACAGGCACUUAGAGAUAAAGAUCUGUAUACACGAUGUGCAUUAUCUCAUUAUGCCAUUCAAAUUUUGGGGUCCACUGUAGAUACAGGUUAUAAUUUGAAAAUCAGAUUGGUUCAACAAUCUUAACCUUAAUUUGUGGAAACUUAUUUGUUGAACAGUUGGAUUUUUUUAUUUUUAUUUUUCAAUUUUAACCAUUUGAUACUUGUCCACCAAUUGGCUAGUUUGGUAAUCAAUUCAAGGUAAUUUUUGGAUUAUGAUGCAUCUAAGUUGGUGCUGACAGAUUAAUUUGAGUUACUUGUAUGCCACAUAUAUCAACCAUCACAUCUUGCCAAAGUUGUUAUGCCUGAAAGCUACAUCUGCAGAAAUACUUUACAGCUACAUGAAUAUAGAACGGAUCCUUAUCCAUUUGUCUUAACAAUACUGAGAUUGAGGAAAGUGAACUCUCUGAUGCAAGCUCAACAAAUUUGAAAGAAAAUGGAUCUUCACCGUCCCUAACUCUGAUCAGAAAGCAGGGAUGGUAUUCAGAUAAACUUUCAUAUCUAAAAGGAAAAGUAGCCUUCCUCGAUAGGAAUUCCAACAUCAGUUGCCCUGCCCUUUGGAGUUUUUGAGAAGGUUUUGUUAGAUGAUUCAAACCAGGUUUGUCUCAUCUCAUCUCCUGUCACUUAAGUGUAUCCAACAUCAAUAGAAUGCUAAUUCUAACAUAUCAACCUUUGAAACCUUUCCAAAAUUAUCAGAAAUGACAUAGGUGAUUAUCAAGCAAAUGCUAGAUGUGUAUGCCUACAUGAGAGCUUCACUUGGUGAGGCAUGCAUUUCGUUCUCAUGUUUUGAUUUAUGAAGCUUUUUUUCUUUUUAUUGUUUGAAUUGUGUAAAAGAGAGCUGAUUGAUGUGGUAUGUUUUUGUUGUAUUUUUUUAAUGAGAUUUUAUGGAUUUUUUUUUUUUAAAUUGUUUCUUUGAGUGUGGCGUUUCAAGUGAAGAGAAGGAUAGAUUUGGUUUAUGGGGGAGGGAGUGUGGGAUUGAUGGGUUUGAUCUCCCAAGCUAUUUAUGAUGGAGGCUGCCAUGUUCUUGGUUCUCUAUCAUAGUUUGGUGUCCUUGGAUUCGAGUUGGGUUAUUCAAUGGAAAAUCCAAAUUCAUUGGUUGUGUGGGAAGCAAUUGAUGCAUGUCUUGUUGUCAUCUGAUAGGGAAGAAGACAAUUGAACUUGAAAUAUGCAUUGGACAGAAUGGUAACACUGGAAAUAUAAAAGCUACCAAGCGUAGCAUGUCAUCAGGUUUAGAGAUGAAGCUUGAUGAGCUGCGGAAAGAGCUCUCUUCAAGUCAUGAAGGAAUAUUGCCACAUACCAUUCUUUCCACCCAACAGAUCAGCACGUUAAGAGCCGAAAAACCAACUUCCAUGGAACAGCUAAGGACUAGCCUGGUUCUAACUAUCAUAAGAGCAGUUUUUAAAGGGCUAAUGGUGGGUGAUCCACUCUUCUCGUUGCAUACAAGUGGGGCAAUCCAGAGUUCAAAUCACUUCAGCCUUUUGACGCCACUCGUGCUAGGAGUAGACCAUAUAGAGGAUUUGUUUUUAUUUAUUUAUUUAUAUUCAAGACCAUUUAUUGUAAUAAAUUUUGUUUAAUAUUCAGUUUUAUUUGUAUUGCAUCAUUUUUAUGUUUCAAAUAUUUAAAAAAUACAGGUUUUGAUUGAAUUAUAUAUAAUAAAAAAUUACUGGCA